AUUGAACGCUGGCGGAAUGCUUUACACAUGCAAGUCGAACGGUAGAGGGGGCAACCCCUCGAGAGUGGCGAACGGGUGAGUAAUAUAUCGGAACGUGCCCAGUCGUGGGGGAUAACGUAGCGAAAGUUACGCUAAUACCGCAUACGAUCUAAGGAUGAAAGCGGGGGAUCGCAAGACCUCGCGCGAUUGGAGCGGCCGAUAUCAGAUUAGGUAGUUGGUGGGGUAAAGGCUCACCAAGCCAACGAUCUGUAGCUGGUCUGAGAGGACGACCAGCCACACUGGAACUGAGACACGGUCCAGACCCCUACGGGAGGCCGCAGUGGGGAAUUUUGGACAAUGGACGCAAGACUGAUCCAGCCAUUCGGCGUGCAGGAUGAAGGCCCUCGGGUUGUAAACUGCUUUUGUACGGAACGAAAAGGUCUCUCUUAAUACGGGGGACUCAUGACGGUACCGUAAGAAUAAGCACCGGCUAACUACGUGCCAGCCGCCGCCGUAA
rnacentral:rRNA from 1 species